CAGACAGCUGCCAGUGCAUAUCAGGAACAGCUCGGGAGCUAGUCUCCCCCAGCAUCGGUCCUUCAGGCUUGAGGGAAUCUCUAGCCAGUGAGCCGGUGUCAGACCACAGUAGGAGGCUGAGUUCCUGGGAGCUGGCUGAGGUUUGCUUAUCCUGUCCAAAGUGUCCUCCCUCAGACUUCUGAGAGCCGAACACUGACAGAGUGGGGGACUCCAGCAUGCCCGAGGGUCUGUGCUAAAGCUAACCUUUCAGUGAGCUUCACCAGCUCCUCCCUCUACUUGUGCAGGCUCAGCAGAAAGAGAGGCUGUGUCUGAUUCUCCCUUCAAGGUUUCUC
ensembl:lncRNA